UGGGGAAUCUUGCGCAAUGGACGAAAGUCUGACGCAGCGACGCCGCGUGGGCGAUGAAGGCCUUCGGGUCGUAAAGCCCUGUCAGCAGGGAGUAAGGUCUGCGACCUAACACGUCGCAGGCUUGAAAGUACCUGCAGAGGAAGCACCGGCUAACUCUGUGCCAGCAGCCGCGGUAAUACAGAGGGUGCGAGCGUUGUUCGAAAUCAUUGGGCGUAAAGCGCGUGUAGGCGGCGUGGCAAGUCUGGUGUGA
rnacentral:rRNA from 1 species